rnacentral:rRNA from 1 species
GGGGCAUAUGUCUUGUAAUUGGAAUGAUGCCGACUUAAACCCUCGGCAGAGUACCAAUUGGAGGGCAAGUCUGGUGCCAGCAGCCGCGGUAAUUCCAGCUCCAAUAGCGUAUAUUAAACUUGUUGCAGUUAAAAAGCUCGUAGUUGAAUUUGAGCUUGCGCGAUUCCGUUAUUGGAGUAUUGCGCUUGCUUUUUUGUUACUUUGAGAAAAUUAGAGUGUUUCAAGCAGACUUUUGUCUUGAAUACUUCAGCAUGGAAUAAUAGAGUAGGACCUUGGUUCUAUUUUGUUGGUUUUUGAGCCUUGGUAAUGGUUAAUAGGAACGGUUGGGGGCAUUCGUAUUUAACUGUCAG